rnacentral:rRNA from 1 species
GACGAACGCUGGCGGCGUGCUUAACACAUGCAAGUCGAACGGACCUUAUUUGGAGGAAGCUUUCGGGUAGACACUGAAUAAGGUUAGUGGCGGACGGGUGAGUAACGCGUAGAUAAUCUACCUUAAAGACUGGGACAACAGUUGGAAACGACUGCUAAUACCGGAUAAGCUAAACGGAAGGCAUCUUCUGUUUAGGAAAGGAGGCCUCUUAACAAUGCUCCCGCUUUUAGAUGAGUCUGCGUCUGAUUAGCUAGUUGGUGGGGUAACGGCUUACCAAGGCGACGAUCAGUAGUCGGCCUGAGAGGGUGACCGGCCACAUUGGGACUGAGACACGGCCCAAACUCCUACGGGAGGCAGCAGUGGGGAAUCUUCCGCAAUGGGCGAAAGCCUGACGGAGCAACGCCGCGUGAUCGAAUGAAGGCCUUCGGGUUGUAAAGAUCUGUUGACAGGGACGAAUAAGCCAUGCGAAUAGUUUGGUGUAUGACGGUACCUGUUUAGAAAGCUCCGGCUAACUACGUGCCAGCAGCCGCGGUAAUACGUAGGGAGCAAGCGUUGUCCGGAAUUACUGGGCGUAAAGGGCGCGUAGGUGGGUGCUUAAGUCAGGUGUGAAAACUCUGGGCUCAACCUGGAGACUGCACUUGAAACUGGGUAUCUUGAGGGCAGGAGAGGAAAGUGGAAUUCCUAGUGUAGCGGUGAAAUGCGUAGAUAUUAGGAGGAACACCAGUGGCGAAGGCGACUUUCUGGACUGUACCUGACGCUGAGGCGCGAAAGCGUGGGUAGCGAACGGGAUUAGAUACCCCGGUAGUCCACGCCGUAAACGAUGAAUACUAGGUGUAGGAGGUAUCGACUCCUUCUGUGCCGCAGCAAACGCAAUAAGUAUUCCGCCUGGGGACUACGGUCGCAAGACUAAAACUCAAAGGAAUUGACGGGGACCCGCACAAGCGGUGGAGCAUGUGGUUUAAUUCGACGCAACGCGAAGAACCUUACCAGGGCUUGACAUCCCUCGCUAUCUGUGGAAACACGGAGUUCCGUAGCUUGCUACGGACGAGGAGACAGGUGGUGCAUGGUUGUCGUCAGCUCGUGUCGUGAGAUGUUGGGUUAAGUCCCGCAACGAGCGCAACCCCUACGUCCAGUUGCCAGCACGUUAAGGUGGGAACUCUGGAGGAACUGCCGGUGACAAACCGGAGGAAGGUGGGGAUGACGUCAAAUCAUCAUGCCCUUUAUGUUCUGGGCUACACACGUGCUACAAUGGCCGGUACAGAGGGCGGCGAAGCCGCGAGGUGGAGCGAAUCCCAAAAAGCCGGUCUAAGUUCGGAUUGCAGGCUGCAACCCGCCUGCAUGAAGUCGGAAUCGCUAGUAAUCGCGAGUCAGCAUAUCGCGGUGAAUACGUUCCCGGGUCUUGUACACACCGCCCGUCACACCAUGGGAGUUGGCAACACCCGAAGUCGAUGAGCUAACCGCAAGGAGGCAGUCGCCUAAGGUGGGGUUGAUAACUGGGGUGAAGUCGUAACAAGGUAGCCGUUCGAGAACGAGCGGCUGGAUCACCUCCUUUCUAAGGAGCGACAAGCGCUUGAGGCUAUGGAAAUAGAAUUAGGUGCUAGGCUUUAAGGAUAGAAAAAGUCGAUAGGCGUUAACGAUUUGUUGGCGUUUUAUAUUACUGAGCUGGGAUUUAACUCACUAUUUAGUUUUCAGAGAUUCGUUCUCUGAGCCAAUAGAUCUUUGACAACUGCAUAGAAAUAAUGAGAUCUUUCUAAUUGAAGCAAGAGAGAGUAAGGUAAGAUUACGAUUUUGAGAGAGAGCAAUUAGGAAGCGUGACUUAGAGUUAGAGAAUAAGGCAAGUAAGCUUAAUCAUAGCGUGUUUGAAAGAGAACAGGUUAAGAUAAUAAGGGCGUAUGGUGGAUGCCUUGGCAUCAAGAGUCGAAGAAGGACGCGGUUAACUGCGAAAAGCCUCGGGGAGCUGUAAGCGAGCAUCGAUCCGGGGAUAUCCGAAUGGGGCAACCUGGCUGGAGUCAUAUCCAGUCAUCAUUAUCUGAAUAAAAUAGGGUAAUGAAGACAACCCGGGGAACUGAAACAUCUUAGUACCCGGAGGAAGAGAAAGAAAACUCGAUUCCCAUAGUAGCGGCGAGCGAAGUGGGAAGAGCCCAAACCAGGCUUUAGGGUCUGGGGUUGUAGGACUUCAUAAGUUGACAAUAUGCUAGCUGAACACAGUUGGAAAGCUGGAUCGCAGAAGGUAAAAAUCCUGUAAGUGAAAGCAGACGAUAGACGGAAGUAUCCUGAGUACCGCGGGACACGAGGAAUCCCGUGGGAAGCAGGAGGGACCACCCUCCAAGGCUAAAUACUCCUUGAUGACCGAUAGUGAACC